CUAAAGGCAAAAACCACAUCCUGGUAUCUCACUCAGUAGCUGCAGGGGGGAGCUUUUGCACAAGCAAGCAGUUUAACAGAAGCCAAGAUAAGCAGUUGGCUGGAGGGGGAGGUUUGCAUAAGCAGGCAGUUUAACAGAACCUAAGGUAAAGUUAGCUGUGGCAUCUUGACCUCAGGUUUCUAGAAUAGCAUUGGGAAAUUUUCUGCAGGAUUCUCCAUCAAGGAGAUCAAAUUCUAGUUAAACCUGAAAUGGCCUCAAGAAGAAUACAAGAUGGGGGAGUUUCUGCACUGUCUUGACUUGUCAUGGUUGAAAUUGGGUCUACUCAUGGUCAUGCUUACCUUAGCUAGGAGAAAGGGGAGAAAGUGAACACAAUCGAGAUCCUCAGACAGUAACUCUCUCGCUCCAGAUAGAACGGUUGGUACCUAAAGGCAAAGGAAACAGGUGAAGACAAGGAAGUACUGUGGAAUAUUAUUUCAAGAUGCCCACUGUCCCAGCGCCUACAUCCCACGUUCCAGUAAGACCUCCAGUCAGUCUUUACAACAGUGGAAUGUUCUACCAUUUACCACUAACCCAAUGAAGGC